UCGUCUUUCUAAGUCUUUGUAAAACAAAGGUGUUUUGAGGUUGAUUUGAGGUAGUGCACAGAGAGUACUCAGGCUGGGAUCUCAAACUCGGUUAUUUCUGGAGCCAGGAUGCUGGUCUGAGCGGCGCGCAGCCGAUGGAGGUAUUUUUAAGUGCGUGUGAUCCUUGGGUUUCAAUGGCAAGGAAAAAGGAAACAUGUGGAUGGAAGACAGGACCACUGAUACUGAUUCUCCAGAUUUUGAGAAGCACUAUCAUCAUUAUUUUGAAAAGGAGUCACAAUUUCACUCUUGUGGAUGAAUAGCAGUUGAAAAUGAUGCAGGCUGACACCCUAUUGGACCAUGGUGGAGUCUCUCUCAAGGACAGUUUGAUUUUUUUUUUCCUUUUGGAUGUGGCACCAUAAAAGUCAAUGCCUGG
rnacentral:lncRNA from 1 species